rnacentral:rRNA from 2 species
GAAUCUAGCUUCAGGUCAGGGACAACCACUGGAAACGGUGGCUAAUACCGGAUGUGCCGAAAGGUGAAAGGCUUGCUGCCUGAAGAUGAGCUUGCGUCUGAUUAGCUAGUUGGUGGGGUAAGAGCCUACCAAGGCGACGAUCAGUAGCUGGUCUGAGAGGACGAUCAGCCACACUGGGACUGAGACACGGCCCAGACUCCUACGGGAGGCAGCAGUGGGGAAUUUUCCGCAAUGGGCGAAAGCCUGACGGAGCAAUACCGCGUGAGGGAGGAAGGCUCUUGGGUUGUAAACCUCUUUUCUCAGGGAAGAACACAAUGACGGUACCUGAGGAAUCAGCAUCGGCUAACUCCGUGCCAGCAGCCGCGGUAAUACGGAGGAUGCAAGCGUUAUCCGGAAUGAUUGGGCGUAAAGCGUCCGCAGGUGGCUGUGUAAGUCUGCUGUCAAAGAGCAAAGCUCAACUUUGUAAAGGCAGUGGAAACUACACGGCUAGAGUGCGUUCGGGGCAGAGGGAAUUCCUGGUGUAGCGGUGAAAUGCGUAGAGAUCAGGAAGAACACCGGUGGCGAAGGCGCUCUGCUAGGCCGCAACU